rnacentral:rRNA from 1 species
UACGGAGGGUGCAAGCGUUAUCCGGAUUCACUGGGUUUAAAGGGUGCGUAGGCGGGCAGGUAAGUCCGUGGUGAAAUCCCCGAGCUUAACUCGGGAACUGCCAUGGAUACUAUUUGUCUUGAAUAUUGUGGAGGUAAGCGGAAUAUGUCAUGUAGCGGUGAAAUGCUUAGAUAUGACAUAGAACACCAAUUGCGAAGGCAGCUUACUACACAGUUAUUGACGCUGAGGCACGAAAGCGUGGGGAGCAAACAGG